rnacentral:rRNA from 1 species
UACGAGGGGGGCAAGCGUUGUUCGGAUUCAUUGGGCGUAAAGGGUGCGUAGGUGGCGCGGUAAGUCGGGUGUGAAAUUUCGGAGCUUAACUCCGAAACUGCAUUCGAUACUGCCGUGCUUGAGGACUGGAGAGGAGACUGGAAUUUACGGUGUAGCAGUGAAAUGCGUAGAUAUCGUAAGGAAGACCAGUGGCGAAGGCGGGUCUCUGGACAGUUCCUGACACUGAGGCACGAAGGCCAGGGGAGCGAACGG